AGGUGGAAGCGUGGCGACAUGUGUAGCUGACUGAUACUAAUCGAUCGAGGACUUAACCAAA
rnacentral:rRNA from 1 species